UACGGAGGAUGCGAGCGUUAUCCGGAUUUAUUGGGUUUAAAGGGUGCGUAGGCGGCUUUUUAAGUCAGCGGUGAAAUUUUGCAGCUUAACUGUAACAGUGCCGUUGAUACUGUUUGGCUAGGAUUUGGUUGUAGUGUGCGGAAUGUGUGGUGUAGCGGUGAAAUGCUUAGAUAUCACACAGAACACCGAUUGCGAAGGCAGCACACUAAGUCAUUAUUGACACUGAGGCACGAAAGUGUGGGGAUCAAACAGGAUUAGA
rnacentral:rRNA from 1 species